rnacentral:sRNA from 1 species
UCGCAUCGUUCGAUCGGGAUACUCAUCAAAUAACAAUCUUAAUUGAUUCGGAAUUCCACGCCAAUGGCGGGCCACAGGGAGCGAAAGCCCCAAGUUGAAAGACCGGUGGAUUACAAAAGCUGGAAUCCUUCAUAACUUCACAUUCAGGAGUUUCAUCACAUCACGGUGCGGCCUUUU